AACGAACGCUGGCGGCAGGCCUAACACAUGCAAGUCGAGCGCGCCCUUCGGGGUGAGCGGCGGACGGGUGAGUAACGCGUGGGAACGUGCCCUUCUCUGCGGAAUAGCCUCGGGAAACUGAGAGGAAUACCGCAUACGCCCUUGGGGGGAAAGAUUGAUCGGAGAAGGAGCGGCCCGCGUUGGAUUAGGUAGUUGGUGGGGUAAUGGCCCACCAAGCCGACGAUCCAUAGCUGGUUUGAGAGGAUGAUCAGCCACACUGGGACUGAGACACGGCCCAGACUCCUACGGGAGGCAGCAGUGGGGAAUCUUAGACAAUGGGGGCAACCCUGAUCUAGCCAUGCCGCGUGAGUGAUGAAGGCCUUAGGGUUGUAAAGCUCUUUCAGCUGGGAAGAUAAUGACGGUACCAGCAGAAGAAGCCCCGGCUAACUCCGUG
rnacentral:rRNA from 1 species